UUCUAUUAGGUUAACGGCUUGAAAUGUUGUGAAAAUUCGAUAGCAAGAUGAACCAUGCAGACGACAAACUGUAAUAACACCAUGCAAGGUUGAAGUUGUCCAGAUGUAGUUCGGGUAUAUUUUACAACCGUAAGUUAUGUAUUUCAGAUCUCGACUGGGUGGAAGCGGAAACUCAAAGAUAUACUAAAAUCAAAUUACGUGCUAUGCGAAGACUGUUAAAAGGGGCCUUAUACAAAUUACGUGCGAUGCGAAGACUGUUAAUAGGGGACUUAUACAAAUUACGUGCUAUGCGAUAACUGUUAAAAGGGGCUUAUACAAAUACAACAUUACGUGCUGUACAAGUGUUACAGCGGGUCUUAUACUAAAGUUAGGAACCACUGUGACUCUGUGAGUAAGAGGCUGGCUUGAUGGUCUCGGGUUCGCUCCCGGUGUUGGCCGAAAAAAAAUUCCUCAGAAUGUUCCGGCGUGGUUUCCCCGUGUCAGUGGUGCAGGAUGGAGGGCCUGACAAGGUCAGCUGUCUAGUAGUUCGGAUGUUACGAAAAGCCGACGCUCCGCGUAUAAAUGAAAUGAAAUGGGGUUUAACGUCCUACUGUUCUGCUCCGAACUGGGCUAAUGAAGACAUGCAUACGCCAUACAGUGUGCUAUGAGGGAAAUUUUGUCCGGACAGCAGCACUACGGCCUACACUUAUAUCGAAUUCCAACUGUCAAGGGAUCUUUUACGUGCAUUCCAAUGUAUACACGGGACCUCGGUUUGUCGUCCAAUCCGAACUACUAGACAGCUGUCCUUGUCAGGCCCUCCGUCUUGCAUCACUGACAAAGGGGAACCACGGCUCCGCGUAUACAUUAGCGUGAACGUACAAUUUCCCUUGACAGUUGGUAUUCGAUAUAAAUUUCCCUCCUAGCACAUUGUAUGGCGCAUGCCGGUCUUCAUUAAGCCAGUCGGAGCAGAACAGUAGGACUUUAAACUCCAAUCUCUAUAUUCAGUGUAUAGACCAGCUCCAGAAAAGGGGCUAAAUUUUGGAUGUUUGUGUUGUGUCCAGUUCACUGACAUUUAAUUGGUUGGUAUGCUAAUCUAAACAACAUGUCCGACUUGAUAGCAUUAUUACCCUUAAAUGUUGACAACUAUAAACCUGCCUGCUAUUGGGAGUAUCAAAUGACAUCAUUUAUUAUAAUCGGUAUCAUUUCUGGGGAAUCAGUUGUUUAUUUAUUCCAAAAACUAAGUUUUAUCAUUAAAAAGAAUGGUAGUGGAUGCCAGAAUAAAGAAUUGACAUCUUUCAAUAAAGGGCAAAUGUUACAACUAACGCCUGAUACAACUUCAAAAUGUCUCCAAUCAGGGCCGAAACUAAACAGUUACUUAAAGAUGUAUCAGAUUUCUUGUUUUCAAGUGUUUGACGAGACAAUGGCGAAGACUCACUAAAUCCUCGGGAUAUUCCAGUGGUACAGGAGGAGAUGGGGUGGCAACGAACUUUGUCUAGUUGUUCGGAUGGGACAAAAAACGAAUUCCCGUGUACAUGCUGGUGUGUACGUAAACGAACCCUUGACAAAUGGAAUUCUAUAAAAAAAAGUAGGCGGGCAUAAAUUCACUCAAAGCAUUAAUGGUCGUUUAUUUUUCAGUGGAAUCAAAAGUACAGUGAACCUUUUUGGCAACGUAACAAAGGGUCAUUAUAGGCUGGUUACUAACGGUUAGAGUAAUCUCCCCCUGGGGGUGUAAUAUGAGUUCACGGUUCAUCACUGACGCUUGAUUCAUUAGCUCAUUGCUAGUCAUAAUGACGUAUAAUUUAACACUAAUUACCUCCCCUUUGUUUAGUUGUCGUUUGUAAUAGAGUUACCGUAUCAUUAACAACUUCAUUCAUUUCCUUGACGUUUGCUAUUUUAAAUUUCAAAUUCUAUUAAUAGAGUAAAUUCUUCUUUAAUUUGACUUGAUUUCAAAUAGAUUAUUUCUAAAAGAAAGAAAAUAUUAUUGUCAAAUUUCCUACGACAUAAAUCUACAAACGAAUAAUAUUCCAAGAUAGGUUUAGUUAUCGUAAUCCGUUUCUGUUUGAUUUUAAUGGCUGCGUGGCGGCUCGAUGACUAAUGCUUCCACUUGUCAGGGGCACGGGAAAUGAAAUGAAAUGAAAUGGAGUUUAACAUCCUACUGUUCUGCUCCGAUCUGGGCUAAUGAAGGGGAACCCGGUAAGGAACAGUGUCUAGUCCUUCGAAUAUGGGACAAAACCCCAAGCUCCCGUGUAUACGUUGGCAUGCACGUAAAACAACCCUUGACAGUUGAAAUUCGAUGAAGAGCAAACAGAAACGCAUCGGGCCGUGCUAAAUGUCUCUCAUAGCCCGGUUCGAGCAGAAACGUUCCUGUCUUACUGCUUUGUGUCUAUUUUGUUUUUGCUGUGUUCAAACCUUGUCUACCACGAACCAGUAUGUUUUUACAGUGUUCAUACCUUGUCUGCCUCGAACCAGUAGAUUUAUUAUAUGUUUCACAACGAAAGUCCGUCUUCAUUAGCUCAGUCGAUGUAGAAAAUUAGGACGUUAAAACCCCAUUGAAUUUUAUUUCAAAAACAAAAGCAGAAUAAUAAAGUCUUUUUCAUUUAGCUAUAUGAACUCAAGAAAUGAAAAGUAAAUAAUUAAUGUGUAAUGGCCUCAAUACACAAUUCUUAAUGCAAACAGUUUUGUCUGCAAAACAGAACGAAAAACAGUUGUUCAGCACUUUCAUUGGUGCAUAAUUCCGUGCUUGGAAUUCUUAAAUAGAAAGAAAAAACAAAAGUCAAUCUACUCGCACUGUUAUUCCACUCCGAACGUGGCCAUGCGUUAUUUUCCUUUGUGAGCGGACGAGGUUUA